UAUGGCCACAUCAUGUUAAAACACCGGUUCCCGUACGAUCAGUGAAGUUGAGCAACAUCGAGCCUGGUCAAUACCUAGAUGGGUGACCGCUUGAGAAUAUCAGGUACUGUAAG